rnacentral:rRNA from 1 species
CUACGGGUCGCAGCAGUGGGGAAUAUUGCACAAUGGGGGGAACCCUGAUGCAGCAACGCCGCGUGGAGGAUGACGCAUUUCGGUGUGUAAACUCCUUUUAUAUGUCAAGAAAAUGACGGUAGCAUAUGAAUAAGCACCGGCUAACUCCGUGCCAGCAGCCGCGGUAAUACGGAGGGUGCAAGCGUUACUCGGAAUCACUGGGCGUAAAGGACGCGUAGGCGGGUUGGAAAGUCAGGUGUGAAAUCCUACAGCUUAACUGUAGAACUGCACUUGAAACUUCUACUCUAGAGUAUGGGAGGGGGAGAUGGAAUUAGUGGUGCAGGGGUAAAAUCCGUAGAUAUCACUAGGAAUACCUAAAGCGAAGGCGAUCUCCUGGAACAUUACUGACGCUAAGGCGUGAAAGCGUGGGGAGCAAACAGGAUUAGAUACCCGCGUAGUC